CCAGGUCCUCCUGGAGUUCCAGGACCCGUGGGUCCAUUGGGAUUACCUGGUCAUGUGGGAGCAAGAGGAUCACCAGGGAGUCAAGGUCCUAAAGGACAAAGAGGACCAAGAGGACCAGAUGGUCUCUUAGGGGAACAAGGCAUACAAGGUGCCAAGG